rnacentral:rRNA from 1 species
UACGUAGGGUGCAAGCGUUGUCCGGAAUUAUUGGGCGUAAAGAGCUCGUAGGCGGUCUGUCGCGUCUGCUGUGAAAACUCGGGGCUUAACCCCGGGCCUGCAGUGGGGUACGGGCAGACUAGAGUGGCGGUAGGGGAGACUGGAAUUCCUGGUGUAGCGGUGAAAUGCGCAGAUAUCAGGGAGGGAACACCGGUGGGCGAAAGGCGGGGUCUCUGGGCCCGUAACUGACGCUGGGAGGGCGCG